rnacentral:rRNA from 1 species
UACGUAGGGUGCAAGCGUUGUCCGGAAUUAUUGGGCGUAAAGAGCUCGUAGGCGGUCUGUCACGUCGGCUGUGAAAACCCGAGGCUCAACCUCGGGCCUGCAGUCGAUACGGGCAAACUAGAGUACUGCAGGGGAGACUGGAAUUCCUGGUGUAGCGGUGAAAUGCGCAGAUAUCAGGAGGAACACCGGUGGCGAAGGCGGAUCUCUGGGCCGUAACUGACGCUGAGGGACGAAAGCUAGGGGGAGCGAAACGGG